GGUGCUACUUCAUGGCCAGAUAAAACAGAUAGACGGAGAUCCUUUACCAGCAUAUUAACUUCAUCCAGUAUGUAGCUUAACUUAAAUGGCUAAAGGGCAAAUUUUCAUUUUAUAAAAAGAUUGCAAGCAAUGGAGAUUCCCUUUUUCUUCUAUUAUUUAACAACAUCAGAAUUUAAAUAAUUCCCUGAGCACAUUUACAACUCUUCCCCAUUUUGUUCAGAAAGUCUUUAAAGACGGUACAAAUCUACGUGACUAAAGAUGCUGAGUCAAGCAUGCUUACCGAAAAUUAUAGACAAUAUUG
rnacentral:misc_RNA from 1 species